AACGAACGCUGGCGGCAGGCCUAACACAUGCAAGUCGAGCGCCCUUUCGGGGGAGCGGCGGACGGGUGAGUACCGCGUGGGAAUAUGCCCUUCUCUACGGAAUAGCCUCGGGAAACUGAGAGUAAUACCGUAUACGCCCUGUGGGGGAAAGAUUUAUCGGGGAAGGAUUAGCCCGCGUUGGAUUAGGUAGUUGGUGGGGUAAUGGCCUACCAAGCCGACGAUCCAUAGCUGGUUUGAGAGGAUGAUCAGCCACACUGGGACUGAGACACGGCCCAGACUCCUACGGGAGGCAGCAGUGGGGAAUCUUAGACAAUGGGGGAAACACUGAUCUGCCAUGCCGCGUGAGUGAUGAAGGCCUUAGGGUUGUAAAGCUCUUUCAGCUGGGAAGAUAAUGACGGUACCAGCAGAAGAAGCCCCGGCUAACUACGUG
rnacentral:rRNA from 1 species